GUUGUCCUCUUGGAAACUUCAGAUAAAAUUGGAAUAAUAUAUAGAAGAUUAGCAUGACCCUCGCGCAAAUCGAAACACACAAAUUCAGAAAUGGUCCAAAUUUUC